GGAGGGGUGCUAGAGCGGUUGAAUAGGAUGGUCUUGAAAACCAUUAAGGGCGCAAGCUCUUCGUGAGUUCGAAUCUCACCCCCUCCGCCA
rnacentral:tRNA from 1 species